AGUGGUAUAGCUGGGUCAAAUGGUGAUUCCAUUCCAAGUUUUCUGAGGAAUCUCCACACUGCUUUCCAUAGUGGUUGCACCAAUUUGCAAUCCCACAGCAAU
rnacentral:pre_miRNA from 1 species